AGUGCUGUGGCUCAGUAGCAAAGCACCUGUGUUACAUGCAUAAGGUCCCAGGUUCAAACCCCCUGGCAGCUCUG